rnacentral:rRNA from 1 species
CUAAAAAGCUCGUAGUUGGAUCUCGGCAGUCAGGGGGUGGUUCGCUUUUCGGCGCUACUGCCCCAUUUGACUGUGUGAUUGGCGGAGGUUUCGAGGUGCUCUUCGUUGAGUGACUCGGGGCGCCGUCAGGUUUACUUUGAAAAAAUUAGAGUGCUCAAGCAGGCUUACACGCUUGAAUAUUCGUGCAUGGAAUAAUGGAAUAGGAACUCGUUUCUAUUUUGUUGGUUUUCGGAAAUCGGAGGUUAAUUGAUUAANUUAAGGGGGGGAAACANAUUUUGGGGGGGGCAUUAGUAUCCAGACGACAGAGGUGAAAUUCUUGGACCGUCUGAAGACUAACUACUGCGAAAGCAUUUGCCAAGAGUGGUUUUCAUUAAUCAAGAACGAAAGUUAGAGGUUCGAAGGCGAUCAGAUACCGCCCUAGUUCUAACCAUAAACGAUGCCAGCUAGCGAUCUGCCGGGUGUUAUUUGUAGGCCCUGGCAGGAGGCUUUCGGGAAAACCAAAGCCUUUUGGG